GAAUGGCAAAGGGCAAGGCAGCCCAGUUCAGGGGAUUUAGCAACUUGUGCUUGACCUGUUUUUCCCCAGGGAUGAGGUGCUGGUCAGGAAGGAGAACAGAGCUGUGCCAAGAGGGAACUGUGUUUCUCCCAGAGAUCCCCUGAAAAGAGGAGUGACAUGCAGGCCUGGAAGAGGGAUGCUCCGACAAGGGAAGGAAUGAUGCAUCUGACUCCAUGCUCUCAGAAGGGAAACGUGAAAAGAAAGGAAACUACUUCUCCUUGUCUCAGAGUGGACUGGAUAUGCAUCAGAGCAAAGGAGAUGGGAAGAGAGCUGGGAAAGCAGCUUUUAUGGUUUGUGGGUGAAAUGGCAUGAAUAUGUACGAGACUGUAAUUGGCUCCCACAGAGUAACCAAGCUGCCAGAAGACCCAGGUGUCCCAGCUAAUUGUUGUAGACAAUUAAUAACUCAGAUUCUGCUAAUUCCAUGUCGAGCUGGGCAGCUCAUUACAGGACCAGAGAGUGAGAUUCUCUGCUAAAGCUGCUUGCAGAUAGGGAGUGCUGGGGGAUCCAGGCUUAGGGCAGAGAAGGUCCCAGCUGGGCUGGCACUGCUGUUGGCUCAGAGGGCACAGCAGGAGACAGAGACAGUCUGUCAGCCUUUGGCUGAGGUCUGGAGUCACAUCAGGCAGAGCCCUCACCCACUUGCUCCUCCCUGGAAGCAGGAGCUGGGUAGUGAGUCUGUGGGUUUAGUAAAGCCUAACUGUCAGUUUAGGACAUGAAAUAAAACAACACACAUGCUGGAACCUCCAAGGUAAAAAGAAGGGAAGUUUAUUUUCCGACUCCAGCAUUUAGAGACUUUCAAAAGUGACAGUGGAUUAGGAGAUGAAAGUGCCACCUCUCCAAUGACACUGGACAAGAGAACAGUCCAUCAAAUUUCUCCUCCUCCAGAGAAGAAUGUAAGACAAUAAUUAUUUACAUAAAAGUGCAUGAAAAAGUUCAUUACAAGAACAUAAACAUCAGAAGGCUUAGAAGAACAGAACGACACCUAACAAACCACAUCUUUGUCCUGUGACCCAGAUUACAUAUAGAUUUUUCUUUGUGGUAACAUGAAUCCCAUAAGUCAAAACCAUAAUUUGUGUCCCAUCCACAGAUACAUUCUGCAAACUGGAUAACUAGAGAUGAGACUUCCUGAAUUCCAUCUGAGGCUUUCAUGAUAACCUGCCACUAACCGCAAGUCUCUUUGAGAAGAAACACUAGUAAUUUUAAGGAGGGGAUCUGGCAGCUGCCCACUUUGCUCUGUGCUGCAGGGCCUUGAAUAGAUAGGGACAAAGUUUGUGCUGCCAUCAGCCAGGAGCUGCAUGCUGGGAAUGUGGGAAUCUCUCUCGAGCCAGAGUGUUUUAUAAGUAUUCUGAGAAGUGAUGGAUCCUGGUUUUCAGAGCCUAAUGCAGCUCACUUUUGCUGGGUUUAAUGCACUUGUCACAGCAACAUCCAUCAAAAGGGAACAGCACCUGAGAGAGUACAGCUCCCUGGUACUUGAGCACCCAAAAAAUGGAUGGUGCUCCAAGCCAAGAUUUUGAAGGCAGAAUGGAUCACAUUACAUCUAGAAGCAACUGAUUUUUUAUGGAGUUCCAACAAGCUCCUCUAUUAGCUACAUGUCCCUUCCCCUUCCUCCAGCAUUCAGGUACUUGGGCUUGCAGGGGUUGUAAUUGCACAACUUCAGGGACUGUUUCCUAUUACUAUUUUGACUUUCUCCUUUUUCCUUCUAUUAAUACUUUUCCUGGUGUUUAACAUUAAAUGUAAGGAAGUUCCUUCUCUGCAACUUUUCUAUCCAUCUUCCAGAAGUUCUGUAGCAGAGAUUAUAGGUACCAGUCCUAUGCUGUGGAACUGGUUUUUUAAAACUUCUGUCAAAAAUAGGUUAGAAACUGUUGUAAAAUAGUUAAUAAUUGUUAAUCAUAUACUGUUGAAAGGUUUGGUUAUUAUAUUGUAAAAGGAGUUGUAAAAGAGGUUGGUAACAUUUGCAAAAUGGUAAUGGGUAUGUGCUGACCCUUCACUGUGUGAAUAGGUUACUUUGAGUUCCUGUUCUCCUCCUUAUUUUCCUUAUUCUGCUCUGCCUUCCUGCAGCAGGCAUUUUCUCCCACCUGAUUUUCAGAAGCAUUUUGUUACUGCUGCUAAUACCAAUAUGCAAAAUCUUCUGAUUGUCUGCACUGCAUAUCUGGUGGAGAAGGACCCAAAAAUGAUGCUUUGCUUAAGUACAUUUUAAUUGCUUCAAAAAGGAAUAUCUAAGCUCCAAAUAUUUCAGUUUAAACUAAUAUGUUUUUGUUCCAAUCAGUGCUUUUUAAAAAUGUGUGUUUCCAGUGAAGAGCUGAAAUGUUUUGCUGGUAAUGUGCAACAUUUUCAGAGAAGUUUUGA